UACGUAGGGUGCGAGCGUUAAUCGGAAUUACUGGGCGUAAAGCGUGCGCAGGCGGUUCUGAAAGUCAGCUGUGAAAGCCCCGGGCUUAACCUGGGAAUGGCGGUUGAAACUACAGGACUAGAAUCUGGCAGAGGGGGGUGGAAUUCCACGUGUAGCAGUGAAAUGCGUAGAGAUGUGGAGGAACACCGAUGGCGAAGGCAGCCUCCUGGGCCAACACUGACGCUCAUGCACGAAAGCGUGGGGAGCAAACAGG
rnacentral:rRNA from 1 species